rnacentral:rRNA from 1 species
AUACGUAGGUGGCAAGCGUUAUCCGGAUUUACUGGGCGUAAAGGGCGUGUAGGCGGUCUUGCAAGUCAGAAGUGAAAUUCCUGAGCUCAACUCGGGCGCUGCUUCUGAAACUGCAGGACUUGAGUGCUGGAGGGGAUAGCGGAAUUCCUAGUGGAGCGGUAAAAUGCGCAGAUAUUAGGAAGAACACCGGUGGCGAAGGCGGCUAUCGUGACAGUACCGGACGCUGAGGCGCGAAAGCGUGAGGAACAAACAGGAUUAGAUCCCCUGGUAGUCCACGCCGUAAACGAUGAAUACUAGGUGUAGGGGGUAUCGACUCCCUCUGUGCCGCAGUUAACACAAUAAGUAUUCCGCCUGGGGAGUUCGGCCGCAAGGUUGAAACUCAAAUGAAUUGGCGGGG